rnacentral:snoRNA from 1 species
UGUCCCUGACCUGGGUAGAGUGGUAUCUGGUUGGUGGUGCCAUCUCAUAUCAACCAGGGACAAAGUAACCCCUUGUUCACCCUGGCUUGGCCUCUGGUCUGUGCUCAGGCCUGGUGCAUGCCUUGGACACAAGG